rnacentral:rRNA from 1 species
CACCGCCGCGGGAAUACGUAGGUGGCGAGCGUUGUCCGGAAUUAUUGGGCGUAAAGGGCUCGCAGGCGGUUUCUUAAGUCUGAUGUGAAAGCCCCCGGCUCAACCGGGGAGGGUCAUUGGAAACUGGGAAACUUGAGUGCAGAAGAGGAGAGUGGAAUUCCACGUGUAGCGGUGAAAUGCGUAGAGAUGUGGAGGAACAUCAGUGGCGAAGGCGACUCUCUGGUCUGUAACUGACGCUGAGGAGCGAAAGCGUGGGGAGCGAACAGGAUUAGAUACCCCAGUAGUCCCUGUCUCUUAUACA